rnacentral:misc_RNA from 1 species
AAGAACGUCUAUGUGUCACUACGCUAAAGAAGCCCCGCGCCCACACACAACGAGGCCUCGCCUGUAGAUCACCGCCGCACGCAUGGGCUACUCCUCUCCACCCAAGCCGUUUCUUCGCCGCCAAUUUCCCUCCAGAAAGUUCCCGCGCAACGUCACCCUCUCUAUCCAUUCCCGCCAUCCUCCCGCCGAUGGUCAAAGUCAAAACGCAAGCAGGCGCUGCGUGUUACUCACUCCACUCCUCGCUCUCGAUGCGUUGAUCCUCCAAUCCGCCGCGUCCAAAGCUGCAGACAUCAACAGGCCUCCGGAUUAUUCCUUUUCUCCUCCUACUCAAUCGCCGUCGGUGGAAGCGGAGAAGAAGGCGGGGGAGAUAAGUUCAAGGAUUUAUGA